CCCAAUCUCACCCCUCUCGCUGCCGCCCACACACAACACACAGACCUAAACCUAACGCGCCCGCGCCGCCACCCACGACCUUCGUGCCGCCGGUCAAGCCCGCACGCUGGUCCCCUCAUGCCACUGCAUCUCAAACCCCGGGCGUUCCUUCCCUCAGCCCGCAUCAGCAGCAGCGCCGUCCGCGACAGAGGAGCAUCGUCCGCCCACCACCCGCCGUUGAGGAGCAGCAGCGCCGUCCGUUGCUGAGGAGCCGCCCGCCGUUCUUCUUCCUCCACCGGCGACACGUGUACCUCCAGAUCUCAACAAGUUUAAGGGGCAUGGCAUGUUGGCACCAUUCACAGCUGGAUGGCAGAGCAAUGGUGUGCAUCUGUUGGUUCUUGAGAGAUCUGAGGGUUCUUAUGUUUAUAACAUCAAUGGGAAUAAGUAUCCAGAUUCUCUAGCAGGACUGUGGUGUACAACUUUAGGAGAGUACCAAAUUUGUGAAGACUUUCAUUUUUACAUUCGUUACUUUCAGCCGCUGAACAAACUAAGGUAAAGAACGAAAAACACGGAAAAGGCUAGCUGUUGGCUGUGGGUGCUGAGCUGACGGACAGUGUGGAAGAAGAAGGUGUGAUCUUGGCAGUGGCCCAUGAAGCAGUUUUUUUCUUUGCAUGCUGAUCACUACUGCACUGUUCAGAUUCUUAAUCAAGUGACUGAUCGACUGUGAUUGUGGGUCGCAACCAAGGGAAUGCUAACCGUGGUGGUGGUGGUGGUGAUUGAAGAGCCCUUAAUCAAUUCGGCCCUGUAGAUUGGAGCAGCAACAUGGGAUAUUGCACCAUCUAGCUCCGUCUAUAUGAUUCAUCUUAUGUUCUUGGUCUAUCAACUAGAGGAAUCUACAGAUUCUUGAAUACGUUCCUGACCUCGCGCAAUCGAUAGUCGGUCUGAUCUCAUCCUCCAACGACCAAGAGUUCCGAGACGAAUGCGUGGUGCCCCUCGCGAAACAUAGUCGGACAUACGAGCUCAGUGACCUCCUGAUGAAGACGUGAACAGUUGCCGCUGCCAACCAAACGCUGCAAGAUUUGCUUCCACUUUAAAUCUGCAUCUCUGGCCAGCUAUUGCCACGGACAGCACACCCUCCGCUGGUGGAGGUGGACAAUACAUCGGAACCUGGGGAGGACAAUGGAAAGGCUUAGAGUUCUUUGAUACGGAAUGCUACUACUCCCUUCGUUUUAAAAUAGAUGACUCAACUUUAUACUAAAAUAGAUAACUCAAUUUUAUAUUAACUUUAGUAUAAAGUUAGUACAAAAUUGAGUCAUCUAUUUUAAAACGGAGGGAGUACUUACGUACCAAUAGGGAAUAGAUCGCUGCUGUUUUUUCAGGUUGACAUCUCGCGACUUGACGGGUGGUCCGUCAAGCUGUGUCCUGAUUGAUAUUUUCGCUGUCUACCGACUACCAGUCGAGUUCAUCUCUGAUUCUCUGAUAAUAUGGCUGGGAUCCAGUACUCUGCUAUGAUGACUGAGCCUGACAAUGUCACUUUGAUUGAGCUUUUAGCCACAAGACGCCACGUACAAUUGGUUACACAUCAAACAUGUCUGGUGCAGAAGUCCAAGUCAAAGAUGAAGUGCAGCACAAUUUCACCAUGCACAUGUUGCGGCGUGCAUCGUUCAAUUCAACCUCCUCCAUUGAUGUCUUGUUGAGAAGAGAGAAAAAAAUGGUUUGUUCUCUUCUGGGCCAUGAAAUACAGCCAUUAACCAUGGCCCGAUGCAGCUCUCAAGAAGCUGAAAGCAGUUAAAGCCUCACACUCACAUCAAAAAGCCCAGCCCGCGUAAGCUCAGAUGCGGAACUUUAUAGUAAUAGUAGUUUAUUUAUUCCCCUAAAACAAAAAAAAUUAGUUUAUUUAUUAUGCGUCUGUGCAUUCGGUGAUGCCAAGUGGAAAAUCUUUUAAUGUCCCACCGUUGCUUGUGGAGAUAACUUACUUUCUGGCCGUA